CCUACGGGAGGCUGCAGUCGAGAAUCAUUCACAAUGGGGGAAACCCUGAUGGUGCGACGCCGCGUGGGGGAAUGAAGGUCUUCGGAUUGUAAACCCCUGUCAUGUGGGAGCAAAUUAAAAAGAUAGUACCACAAGAGGAAGAGACGGCUAACUCUGUUCCAGCAGCCGCGGUAAUACAGAGGUCUCAAGCGUUGUUCGGAAUCACUGGGCGUAAAGCGUGCGUAGGCUGUUUCGUAAGUCGUGUGUGAAAGGCGGGGGCUCAACCCGCGGACGGCACAUGAUACUGCGAGACUAGAGUAAUGGAGGGGGAACCGGAAUUCUCGGUGUAGCAGUGAAAUGCGUAGAUAUCGAGAGGAACACUCGUGGCGAAGGCGGGUUCCUGGACAUUAACUGACGCUGAGGCACGAAGGCCAGGGGAGCGAAAGGGAUUAGAUACCCCUGUAGUC
rnacentral:rRNA from 1 species